rnacentral:rRNA from 1 species
UGGGGGAUAUUGCACAAUGGGCGAAAGCCUGAUGCAGCGACGCCGCGUGGGGGUGAAGGCUUUCGGGUUGUAAACCUCUUUCGCUAUCGAACAAGGCCCGCUUAGGGUGGGUUGAGGGUAGGUGGAGAAGAAGCGCCGGCUAACUACGUGCCAGCAGCCGCGGUAAUACGUAGGGCGCGAGCGUUGUCCGGAAUUAUUGGGCGUAAAGGGCUUGUAGGCGGCUUGUUGCGCCUGCUGUGAAAACGCGGGGCUUAACUUCGCGCGUGCAGUGGGUACGGGCAGGCUUGAGUGUGGUAGGGGUGACUGGAAUUCCAGGUGUAGCGGUGGAAUGCGCAGAUAUCUGGAGGAACACCGAUGGCGAAGGCAGGUCACUGGGCCAUUACUGACGCUGAGGAGCGAAAGCAUGGGUAGCGAACAGG